rnacentral:rRNA from 1 species
GAUGAACGCUGGCGGUGUGCCUAAUACAUGCAAGUCGAGCGAACAGACGAGGAGCUUACUCCUCUGACGUUAGCGGCGGACGGGUGAGUAACACGUGGAUAACCUACCUAUAAGACUGGGAUAACUUCGGGAAACCGGAGCUAAUACCGGAUAACAUGUUGAACCGCAUGGUUCAACAGUGAAAGACGGUCUUGCUGUCACUUAUAGAUGGAUCCGCGUCGCAUUAGCUAGUUGGUAAGGUAACGGCUUACCAAGGCAACGAUGCGUAGCCGACCUGAGAGGGUGAUAGCCCACACUGGAACUGAGACACGGUCCAGACUCCUACGGGAGGCAGCAGUCGGGAAUCUUCCGCAAUGGGCGAAAGCCUGACGGAGCAACGCCGCGUGAGUGAAGAAGGUCUUCGGAUCGUAAAACUCUGUUAUUAGGGAAGAACAAAUGUGUAAGUAACUAUGCACGUCUUGACGGUACCUAAUCAGAAAGCCACGGCUAACUACGUG